GAAGAGCAGGCAAGAAGAACCACUCGAGCUUGUGAUCAGCAAUUAUGCAGGAAGAGAGAGGAAGGAAAGAAAGAAAGAAAGCGCAAGCAGGCAAUCGCCAUCGCGGUACCAAAGAGGAGGGACUGUGAGAGAAUUAACCUGUUACCUUUAAGUGAUCGCCAAGAGGAUCUGAUAUGCGAUCUUUCGUCCAUUUUAAAAAUGGAGAAAAGGAAAAAUUUCACCUUGUUC
rnacentral:lncRNA from 1 species